CCGUAUGGAAGGGCCAUCGCUCAACGGAUAAAAGGUACGCCGGGGAUAACAGGCUGAUCUUGCCCAAGAGUUCAUAUCGACGGCAAGGUUUGGCACCUCGAUGUCGACUCAUCGCAUCCUGGGGCUGAAGCAGGUCCCAAGGGUUCGGCUGUUCGCCGAUCAAUAGCGGUACGUGAGUUGGGUUCAGAACGUCGCGAGACAGUUCGGUCUCUAUCUAGUGUGGGCGUAGGAAAUUUGAGAGGACCUGUCCUUAGUACGAGAGGACCGGGAUGGACGAACCUCUGGUGUUCCAGUUGUGUUUCCAAAUGCAAUGCUGGGUAGCUAUGUUCGGAAGUGAGAAGCGCUGAAAGCAUCUAAGCGCGAAACACCCCUCAAGAUUAGAUUUCCCCAUAGGCUCGUGGAAGACUACCACGUUGAUAGGUCGCAUGUGUACGCACAGUGAUGUGCUUAGCUAAGCGAUACUAAUGGCCAAUUGGCUUGACGUUUCAU
rnacentral:rRNA from 1 species